rnacentral:lncRNA from 10 species
GCAGGCCAGAGGUCUGUCAUUACUUUUCUUAAGAUACCAGUCAGACAACAGUCCAAGAAUUCAGAUUGGAUUAUUCUCUUAUUUCUUAAAAACUGUUGAAGAAUUAAAAAUAUGCAGAAAAGUACAGAUUAGAAACUUAAAUCAGUGUACACACGAUACAUCCAGAAUUAACACAUGCUGACAUUGUUGAUUUGGCUUUGUAUUUUUUAAAAAAUAAGAGACAGAUCAUUGUGGAUAAUGUUGAAGUUUCCAUUUGUUCCCCUGCACAGUUCCCUGGGCCUGUCCCUGAUCCAAAGUCACCACUUUCCUAAAUUUGUGUUCUUCCACUUACAUAAAUAUGUAGUUUUACCUUGUGUUUAAAAUGAUCUAAUAUGUUGUAUACCUUCCUAAAACUUACUUUUUUAAAAAACCCAAAAAACUCAGCAAUUUUAUAUUUGAGACAUAUCCACAUCGAUAUGUAUGAAUUUAGUCCAACCUUGCAACUCCUGGAAAGCAUGCAUUGCAUCCCUUGAUGUGUCACAGUUUGUUUAUCUGUUUUCCUAGUGAUGAAUAUUUCAGGUUGUUUUCACUUUUACUGUCACUGCUACUCUGGGUAUCCUAGUGCACGCUCCCUUGUAUAGGUGCUGGAGAGUUUCUCUAAGGCAUAUUCCCGGAUGCUGAAUUGCCUGGUGAUUAAACACAUACAUUUUCAACUUUAUAAACAGAGCCCUCAUUUCUCCAGCUGCUGAGCUCACAGAUUUCGGCCAAAGGGAGCUGACUUACCCAAGGUUACACUUGUUGGGUACAGCCUGUAGGCCAUGGUGGGGAGAUGGAAAGGAAUACAAAGGCUUGGCCUUAUUGUUUCAAUUUAGAACAAUCUUGAAAUGUCAUUCCAGCUCCAUAACUCCCCUGGACUGGCUGAAAUCUCUGCUGGUAACUGCAUUGCAGAUCAACAAUUCUGUCUGCUCUUGCUUUCUUUACACCUUAUAGGUGUUGCUCCCCCAAAAUAUCCCAAUCAAGUUUCUUUUUUUUUUUUGAGACAGACUCUUGCUCUGUCACCCAGGCUGGAGUGCAGUGACACAAUCUCAAUUCACUGCAACCUCCGCCUCCUGGGUUCAAGUGAUUCUCUUGUCUCAGCCUUCUGAGUAGCUAGGAUUACAGGUGCCUACCACCAUGCCUGGCUAAUUUUUGUAUUUUUAGUAGAGACGGGGUUUCACCAUCUUGGCCAGGCUGGUCUUGAUCUCCUGACCUCAGGUGAUCUGCCCGCCUUGGCCUCCCAAAGUGCUGGGAUUACAUGCGUGAGCCACCAUGCCCAGCCUCCCCAGUCAACUUUCUACAUGCCAAGGUCUGGCUCAGAGUCUGUUUCAGGAAACUCACCUAUGGCACUAGAUUGUGUUUUCUAAAGUGCAUGUCCUAAUUUACCUACACAUCAGCAAUUCCUCUUUACCCCUAUCUUUGCCAACACUUUGUAUUGUUAAACUUUUAGAUUUUUCCUGUUUCAUAUCUAAUGGAUAUGACAUUGAAUUAUAGUGUGGUUUAUACUUACAUUUCCCUAAUUACAGAUCAGAUUCUUAAUAAUGAAAACAAAACAUGCUAGCAAGUGCAAGUUUAUUUUGUGGUCCCAUUCUCACCCUGAUGAGGUUAUUGAUUGGGCUCCUUUUAGCCACCAGACCCUUUAGGGUGAAAAUGGAGAUAGAAGAUGGGGAAGGAUGCAACUUGUGAUCAAAAGGCUUGCCGACUGUGAACCAUCUGAUUUUGCUUUGAGACAAGUCAGUUCUCUGAUGCUGUUGCUUGGUGCUCCUGGGUCUCCAGGCUGGUUGGAGAAAAAUCCAGUCCAGUGUGUUUGAGUGGGUGAUGCUGCCCCCAACAUCACUUCAGCUUUUUGCAUUGGUAUGCAUAGUUUUGCUUCUCAAGUCACAGGUGACCAGGAGCAAAUGACAUGGUAAACAAAACAAAACAAGACAAAAACAAAACAAAAAAGACAGAACCACACAUUUGCUGCCAGGUGAUGAUCUGGGAAGGGUGGUGCCUUUUACCAGGUCAACAGAAUGUCUUUCACUGAACUCAACAUGUGGAAAUGGAUUCAGGACAGGAGACAUCUCUCAGCCUGGAACAGGUGGUUAUGGCUGGGUCUUUAAGGAGGAUAGGAUUUUCCAGUAGGAAGUGAAUGGUGCUCACUAAUCAGCUCUGGACUGAGGUGGGAGAUUCUCCUGUGAAGUGUCUUUGGGCACUGACAUCCCCUGUUUUCAGACUAAAGCUCAGGUGUUCACCUAGAUCAAUUGAUGAAAAAAAAAAAAAAAAGAAAACCACUAUCACCUAAAUGUUCCAAUGGGAACAGCCGGCUAUUGAACUUGAUUUUGGAUAAAUGAGCUCUGAGUCUCUGGAGUUCUGCCAAGAGAUAUCCAUGCAUGAGUGUGUGGGGGGGGAGUUUUCCUAACAAAUUGUUCUAACCCACAGGUCUGAUCACAUUGCUCCCCUGACUACAUGCCUCAAAGGCGUCUCACUCACCAGGGGAUAGAGGGAAACUCCCCAGUGUGGCAUAUAGGAUCUUGCAUUUCAUGACCCCGCAUUUGCUGGGCUCCGUGUGUGAUUUUCUUUAUCUUUUCUUUCUGUCUGGAAAAUGUGUCCGUUCCCUUCUAAAAUCAACCAAAUUGUCACUUCCUGUGUAGAACUUUCUCAGACAUCUUCAGGUGGGAUUGGCAUCGGCUUCUGUGAGUUCCCUGAGACCCCUGAUGUCCAUGAGCUAGUCAUCAUUGCCUGUAAUCCUGAGCCGAUCACCUGUCUCCAUACUUCAGGUUUGGGGUAGUGGGUGGGGACUGUGUCUCCUCAUCUUCACGUCCCCAGUGCUGUGCCUGACACAGUAGACAAUCAAUGAGUUGCUUAAACAAGUCAAUGGACAGCUUCUCAGAGACACAGUCUGAAAAGCAAAUAAAAUUUGUAGUUUGUUUAAUGUAGUGGGAAGACUUAAAUUGCUUCCUCAGCUGAGAAACUUGGCCGUUAGAAAGAGACUAUGUGGGCCACAGUAGUAUUCCCUCUGGAUGGCUCAGGAAAAAGUCAUUUCCAUGAAGGAAUUCCUUCCCAGAAUUUCUUGAAAAAUUUGUAUAAUUUUUAAAAAUUCCAAAUCUUGAUGAUAAAAUCAGACAAAAAUUGAGAAAAUGAGAAAAGUGAUGAUAAUUCUCAAGUGAGAAUGAAAGCUUAAUCAACAUGGAGACAUUACUGUUUAAAAGAAAUCCACUGACAUCAAGUCAAAAGUCAGAGCAGGAAGAACUGACAAGUUGGCUUGAAGAGUAGGGUGGACUCUAUGGUUUGAAUGUAUCUCCCAAAGUUGAUGUGUUGGAAACUUGAUCUCCAAUUUGGAGGUGUUGGAGAGAAGGACCUUUUAGAUGUGUUUAGAUCAUGAGGACUCUGCCCUCAAGAAUGGAUUAAUGCCAUUAUUGUGGGAGUGGAUUUGUUGUUUUUGGAGUGGGUUCCUUAUAAAAGGACCAGUUCAGAACCUUUUACUCUCUGUUUUUCUUUCUUUGCCCUUCUGCCUUCUACUGUGUGAUGAUGCAGCAUGAAGGCCCUCAUCAUAUGUCAGUCCCUUGAUCUUGGACUUCCCAACCUUCAGAACCACAAGCCAAUCAACUUCUGUUCAUUAUAAAUUACUGCAUUGCUAGUAUUUUGUUAUAGCAGCACAAAAUGAGCUAAAAGGGUUGACAUUUCCAGAAACUAGGACAAAAGUCCUAGUUUAGGAGAGAAGUGGUCACAAUUUAAUCAGUCAGUGUUGCUUGUAGCUGUCAUGUGUGUGUUCAUGGUCCUGUCUCCUGAAAACAGCAAGUCAUUUUUGCAACUAAAAUAAAUACUAAUAAGUUCAUAUGCAUAGUGUACUUUAUAUAAAUGCUAUGAGUGGGUUACAAGAAAAAUUAACUUUGAAACAAAAUUCACCCUUACACUGCAAUUUUGACACCUGAGAGUGGUGUUGUAAACCUUGCUAGUAGAUCUGAAUGUAAUAUUAUUCAAACACCUUCCAAUAGUGUUUGCUGGUGUCUUUCAGUGAUUGAAUAUUGCUGCAGGUUACAAUUCUUUGUGAAACUGACCAUGUAUUUUCAUCAUUAAAAAAAUAAAUGAGCUGGCUGGGCAUGGUGGCUCAUGCCUGUAAUCCCAGCACUUUGGGAGGCUGAGGCAGGUGGAUCAGUUGAGAUCAGGAGUUCAAGACCUUCCUGGCCAACAUGGUGAAACCCCGUCUCUACUAAAAAUACAAAAAUUAGCCAGGCAUGGUGGCACCGCCUGUGAUCCCAGCUACUUGAGAGACUGAGGCAUGAGAAUCGCUUGGACCCGGGAGGUGGAGGUGGCAGUGAGCCGAGACUGCACCACUGCACUCCAGCUUGGGUAAUAGAGCGAGACCCACUCUCAAAAAAAAAAAAAAAAUUACGUUGAACUUUGCUUUUAUUGUAGUCACUCAUUGUGAUUUUAAAACACACCAACAAAAUGUUAUGAAAAUUAUGUAAUAGACUGGGUGUGGUGGCUCAUGCCUAUAAUCCCAGUACCUUGGGAGGCUGAGGCAGGAGGAUUGCUUGAGCUCAGGAGGUAGAGGCCACAGUGAGCCAUAAUUGUGCCAGUGUACUCCAACCUGAGUGACAGAGUGAGACUCUUUCUCAAACAAUAAAAAAAGAAAAGUUAUUUAAUAGCUUAUGCAUUUAAGAAUGCCUGAAGAUUCCUAAGAAUUCUUAUUUUUCAAUCUUGAAUCCCAAAGAUUAGUACGUGUUGGAAGUUUGGGAACACGGAAGGAGCACUGUCUAUUAACAUGGGAGACCCUCUAUAAGUGGAAAGCCAACCAAGAGAGAAGCCAAUGUGCUGGAGCAGAGCCAGGGCACGGGAAAUGCGUCACUUACCGUGGAAGUGGGGCCAAGGCCAUCAUGAUAGAAGGAGGUGAUGAUUUUCACGUGGAUUAGUCUGGGAGGUCCUCCAAAGAAAACUGACUUUGUGCUGGCAAAUUAUGUUUGCUUUCAGCUACCUUAGGAGAAAUCUGCCCCCAGCACUGCCGGGGAAGGCAGAGAGAGGAGAAAGGGCAGAGCUGAACCCAAACCCACUGUUUGAGCUCCCAUUCUGGGUAACGCAUGUGCCAGGGUCUGUGCCCUCUCUCUGCAGAGCCAGCAGAGUGAGAACUAAUGAAGAAGACUCUGAGGGUUUGUAGGACACACGAAGGGGCUGGAUCAAAGGGUUUUAUUUUCGGACAGGCAUAGAGUGUCUUGAGGGGGGAUGCCGGGUUUGCAAGGGCAUCAAAGAGAAUGUGCUAACUUGUGUGGCAGGGAUGAUCUCACCCUCUCUGGAAGUCUAAACUGUGAGGCCACAUAUUGGCUUUGUGGGGUUCAAGGGAGUGAGCUGCACCAACAACCUGCCCCAUUGUAGAUUACAUGGCAAAUCCAAGCCCCGUCCAGUCUGAAAAAUGAGAUCCAACUAUUUGAUGGGGAGCAGUUCUGCUUUGGGGUUACAUUUUCAUUUACCAUUUGUCUCAGAUGCUAAGAUAAAAUUCUUGGAGGAAAUGUGGCAUCCCUUUUCAGAGGGAGACCUCUCACUCAAACCUCUAUGCCCUUCUCAGGUUCUUAGAAAAGUGGGAAGAUAGAAACGCUAUGAUGCCAAGGAAGCUAUAACACUAUUACCACCAAGGAAUGGAGAGGAAUUUCCCUUGGAGUGGGACGCUAGGCAGCCUGUCCUCACAGGCUAGAUGGAGUUAGGUGACAUCUGGCUUUGAUCAUAAACCCAAAACUCUCCUGAAGACCCAGUCAUUUACUGUGCAUUCCAGAUUGCAACUGUUGUAAGAGAGCCCUGGCUCUUGAUAAGACAGUAUGAUUGUUGGAGACUGUGGCUGCACAUUCUUACACAUUAAAGCAGUUGACGGGGAUUGACCCAAGCCACUCACUCCUCAUGUGUUCCCAGGACCUGCACGCUCUCUUCCUCUGUACCUCUCUUCUCUUUCUGUCUCUUUCCUUCUCUUUCCCAUCCUCUCUUUUCUCCAUUUCUCCCUCUAUUUAUUUUCACUUUUAUUUUAUUUAUUUAUUUUUUUGAGACGGAGUUUUGCUCUGUCACCCAGGCUGGAGUGCAGUGGCAUGAUCUAGGCUCACUGCAACCUCCGCCUCCUGGGUUCAAGCAAUUCUUCUGUCUCAGCCUCAUGAGUAGCUGGGAUUACAGUCAUGGGCUACCACGCCUGGCUAAUUUUUGUAUUUUCAGUAGAGUCAGGAUUUCACCAUGUUGGUCAGGCUGGUCUCGAACUCCUGACCUCGUGAUCCGCCCGCCUCGGCCUCUCAAAGUACUGGGAUUACAGGUGUGAGCCACUGUGCCUGGCCCAGGAGGAGCAAUAUUUGAAAGUGUUACUAUCUGCUCUUUGGCAGCCCAAUGUUAGUUUGUGGAAGGAAAGGGAAAGUCAGUAGUGGGACCACUCCUGGGAAUGAAUUAUUGGAUCUGGAGCAGCACCACCCAACAGAAACAGAAUGCAGGCCACAUGUGUAACUUCACAUCUUCUAGUAGCCAUAUUUAAAGAAGUAAAAUAAUUUUAAUAAUAGAUUUUUAAUUUUAAUUACAUUUACAUCUUAAUAAAUAUAUUAGGCACAGGAAAUGCCUCUUGCCUGUAAUCUCAACACUUUGGGAGGCUAAGGCAGGAGGAUCCCUUGAGCCCAGAAGUUCAAGAUCAGCCUGGGCAAUAUAGCGAGACUUUGUCUCUAAAAAAAAAAAAAAAUUAAAAAAUUAGCCAAGUGUGGUGGCACUUUCCAAUAGUCCCAGCUACUUGGGAGGCUUAGGUGGGAAGAUCAUUUGAGCACGGGAGGUUGAGGCUGCAGUAAGCUGAGAUUGCACCACUGCACUCCAGCCUGGGUGGCAGAGUGAGACCCUGUCUCAAAAAUAAAUAAGAUGGGCACAGUGGCUCACGCCUGUAAUCCCAGCACUUUGGGAGGCUGAGGCGGGUGGAUCAUUGAGGUCAGGAGCUUGAGAUCAGCCUGGCCAACAUGGCGAAACCCCGUCUCUACUAAAAACACAAAAAUUAGCCAGGAGUGGUGGCACACAAUUGUAAUCUCAGCAACUUGGGAUGCUGAGACCAGAGGAUCGCUUGAACCCAGGAGGGAGAGGUUGCAGUGAGCUGAGAUAGUGCCACUGCACUCCAGCCUGGGUGAUAGCGCAAGGCUCCAUCUCAAUUUAAAAAAAAAGUAAAUGUAUAAUAUUUACUCAGACACACCAAAAAUGUUAUUUCAAAAUAAAUAUUGUUAUUAUUAUUAUUUUGAGACAGGGUCAUGCUCUGUUGCCAAGGCUGGAGUGCAGUGGCUCGAUCACAGCUCACUACAGCCCUGACCUCCUGGGCUCAAAUGAUCCUCCUGUCUCAGCCUCCCAAGCAGCUGGGACCACAGGUGUGCACCACCAUGCCCAGCUAAUCAAUACAAAAAUUAUUAACAAGCCAUUUUAUCUAUUUUUUGUACUAAGUAUUUAAAAUCUGGAGUGCAUUUUACACAUUCAGCUCAUCUCAAUCAGGACUAGCUGUACAUCAAGUGCUCAGUAGCUGCAUGUGGUUAUUGAUGACCACAUUGCCCAGUGCAGCUUUUGAGCACUCUGCACUGAAUCACUCUCUCUAGUCUCUGAUCAUUCAUGUGGAGCACCUAAAGCUGGAAGGUUCAGGGAAAUCACCCUGACUGUUGAGGGUGAAAGAAAGGGAGCACUCUUAAUAAUUGUGUGGACAACAGGCAUCCACCAGCACUGGACCAGCAGACAGGACAGAUGUUAUAAAAGGACUCCCAUCAGAGGAGGCUCAGGCCAUGACCUUGAAUACCAAGGUUGUUGUGAGAGUCAUCAGGUAGCCCUGGGUAGCCAGUGGGCAUCUCAAGAGAUGAAAGACACCUGAACAAAGGCAUUGACGAGGCAUCAAGGGGCACCUAGGCAGAGUACCUGCGAUUUAAUCCAGGAUGAAGGAGACUUGGAUCAACCGUGGAGGUACAAAAAAGUGGAGGCAAGCUAAAACUGCAAAAUGUGAGACUGAUGUCAGACCCAAGAAGAGCUCCCUGGCUCUGAGAAAGCAUUUCUGAGCCUAGUGUGCUAGUGCCUUCUGGGGACUUUAAAAGCAGCAUAAAUUCAGUUCAUCCAGGCAAAGAAUUACCUGCUGCAAGGAAGGAAGGUAAAGUUGCAGAUGUCUGAGCCCCUUCCAGCUCUAGUUCCCAAGAUAAGACAAAACUAUUGCUUGUAGGAAAUGUUCCAACGAUGAAACAAUGUUUAGCUAGAGAAAAUUUAUUGCAAACAUUUGUUAAAGGUUAAAGCACAAACCUUGAGGAAAAUAAGGGGGGAAAAUCACCCAACAUAAAUUUUGAUGAUUAUUGGUACUGUAGAGAGAAAUGAUUCUUAUAUUUCAUUUUCCUAGAGUUUACUAUGAAAAACUAUGAGAAAGAAUCUUCCCAGCAGCUUUUUCUCGCAUGUAUUUUUUUUUUAAAUAAACUACAUCACUCCUUAUAUUUUAGUCUGACAUAUCAUGAGGUUCAGAUUCCCAUAAUAAGGUUCUACUCUUUUAUAACACUCAGAUCAGAGGCACGUGGUUAGCUAGCGAGGCAUAGUAACGACAAUGAGCUGUUUGAGUAGACAGACGGGAAUAGAAAUCACAGCACCUUCACUUAGUACCUGUGCAACAGAUCCAUUUACUUAACAGCUGUGAGCCUCAGUUUCCUGAUCUGUAAAUGAAGAUAAUAAUAUCUAUCUCACAGAGUUGGGGUGAUUUCAUGACAGAAAACUGAAAGCGCUAAUUGUAGUGUCUAUCAGAAAAGCAGAUGCUUAAUAAAUGGUAGUCACAUAGGCUAUACAGGAGGUAGUUUCAAGUUAUUACAAUAAUAAUGAUAGUGUAUCUGAGAAACCUUCAAGUCUCAGCAAAUUCAGUAAACCCAGGUGAACACACACUUAACAAGCAUGUACUCUAUGCAAGCUAUUGUAUACCCAGACACCACAUCCUUCAUUUGUAAUCGUGGUUCAUGCCUACAAGUGCCUUUGAAAUUCUUGUGGCUUCUUUCUUGCUGUUCAACUUGGAUUCACAGCAUUCCCUCAUAUCUGAAUGUUGGGGAGGGGUGGGGGACAGGGGAAAUAAAUGAUGAAAGCAUCUUCAAUUGUCAGGGGUGGAGAAGAGACAGGGAAAGGAAGGAGGUAACAAUCAAGUCUAAGAGUCAGCUAGUGGGGCCAAUCACAAAAUAUAGUGCAGCAAUUCUAUGAACAAGCAGAAAAAGGAGUGGGCCUGACUGUGUAUGUGAGGGGAUACGUGAGCAUACAUGAGAUAUGUUUUCAUACCCAGAAUAGAUAUCUUUGAGUGUUAUUUACUUUUAUUUUUAAAUUUACUUUUAUUUAUUUUUCGAGACGGGGUCUCAUUCUUUUUUUUUUUUUUCUUGAGACAGAGUUUCACUCUUGUUGCCCAGGAUAGAGUGCAAUGGCACGAUCUCAGCUCUCCACGACCCCUGCCACCCAGGUUCAAGUGAUUCUCCUGCCUCAGCCUCUUGAGUAGCUGGGAUUACAGGCAUGUGCCACCAUGCCUGGCUAAUUUUGUAUUUUUAGUAGAGAUGGGGUUUCUCCAUGUUGGUUAGGUUGGUCUCGAACUCCUGACCUCAGGUGAUCCACCCGCCUCAGGCUCCCAAAGUCCUGAGAUUACAGGCUUAGGCCACCGCGUCCGGCCUGGGUCUCUCUGUUUUGCCAAGGCUGGAGUGCAGUGGUGCAAUCAUAGCUCACUGCAGCCUUGAACUCCUGGGCUCAAGUGAUCCUCCCAGCUCAGCCUCCUGAGUAGCUGGGACUACAGGUGUGCACCACCAUGCCUGGCUACCUUUUUAUUUUUAUUUUGAUAGAGACGGCGUUCUCCCUAUGUUGCCCAGGCUGGUCUCCAAGUUUUGGGCUGAAACUAUCCUCCUGCCUCAGUCUCUCGAAAUGCUGGCCUUUAAGUCAACUUUGUUGAGGUAUCUACGUCUAACAUCUAAUAAAAUGCAUCCAUUUUAGCAAAACACUUUGAUGAGUUUUGACAAAUGUAUGCAAGAAUGUAACUGGCACCACAAUCAAACUUUAGAGAAAUUCCAUCAUCCCAGAAAGUUCCCUAAUAUUCCUUUCCCCCAGCUCCAGGCAACCAUUGUUCUUCGGUCAGUCACUAGAUUAAUUUAGCCCCAUGGUUCUCAGACUCUGCCAGGGUACUCUGGGAUGCUACAGCAAAUUCAUGGUGUAUCAUGGAUGUUUUAAAUUUUUGAGGGAAACACAGAUCUGUUGGAUGCCAUAGGAACCACUAUUUUGAUGUUGUUUGGGCCUAAUGAGUUAAUAAAUUGAACUUUUAUGUAUUUUGUUUGGUUUAGGGGCAUCAUGAAAAAAAGAUUGAAACACUAGUAAUAACAUUUUCACAGCUCAUCUAUGUUAUUGCAUGUGCCAGUAUAUCAUUUCUUUAUAUUUCUGGGGAUAUAUUUUAGUACAUGGAUAUAACACAUUUUUUUCUAAAGAAAGCCGCUUGAGCAUUUAUAUACAAAUCUUUUGAGUACAUAUGUUUUCAUUUUUCUUGCGUAGAUGUAUAGAAGCAGAAUUUCUGGGUCAUAUGUUAAGUGUAUGUUUCACUUUUAAAGAAAACGCCAAACUAUUUUCCAAAGCACAAUUUUACAACCCCAGUUGCUCCACUUUUUUGCCAACAUGGUACUGCCUGUUUCUUUAAUUUUAGCCAUUCUAGUGGGUGUGCGAUGCUAGAUCAUUGUGCUUUUAAUUUGCAUUUUCCUGAUGACUAAUUAUGUUGAGAAUCCCUUCAUGUGCUUGUGGGCCAUUUGUGUAUCCUCUCUAGUGAAGCUGGUUGAAGUCUUUUGCAAAUUGAAAAAAAAUCAAGUGGUUUGUCUUAUGAUUGAGUUGUAAACAUAUCUAUACGUUCUUAAUAUAAGUCCAUUGUCAGAUGUAUAUGUAUCUACUAUAGUUUACAACUCAACCAUAAGAAGAAAAACCACUAGGUUUUUAAAAUAAUUUGUUCCUGGUGUAUUGUUUGUCUUUUUAUGGUCUUAACAGUAUCUUUCAGAGAACAAGAGCUUUCAAUUUGAUGAAGUCCAUUUCAUUAAUAUUUUCUUUCAUUGUCCAUGCUUUUCUGUAUCCUAAUAAUUUUUUGUUAAUUUCUAAGGUCACAAAGAAUUUCUUCUGUUUUUUCCUAGAUGUUUUAUAGUUUUAGCUCCUACAUUGUGGCUUAAGAUCCUUUGUGGAGUUAGCUUUUGUGUAUGGUGUGAGCUAAAUGUGGAGGUUCUCUUUUUUCUUUAUGGAUAUCAGCUGGUUAAGCAGCAUUUGUUGAAAAGACAAUCACGUUGGCACCUUUGUUGAAUAUUAAUUGAUCAUAUAUGUGUGCAUCUAUUUCUGGGUUUUCUUCUUUUCCAUUCAUCUUAU